rnacentral:rRNA from 1 species
CCUUCCGUUAGGGGAACCUGCGGAAGGAUCAAUAAUGCGAGUAAGGGUGCUCAGCGCCCGACCUCCAACCCUUUGUUGUUAAAACUACCUUGUUGCUUUGGCGGGACCGCUCGGUUCCGAGCCGCUGGGGAUUCGUCCCAGGCGAGCGCCCGCCAGAGUUAAACCAAACUCUUGUUAUUUAAACCGGUCGUCUGAGUUAAAAUUUUGAAUAAAUCAAAACUUUCAACAACGGAUCUCUUGGUUCUCGCAUCGAUGAAGAACGCAGCGAAAUGCGAUAAGUAAUGUGAAUUGCAGAAUUCAGUGAAUCAUCGAAUCUUUGAACGCACAUUGCGCCCCUUGGUAUUCCGAGGGGCAUGCCUGUUCGAGCGUCAUUACACCACUCAAGCUAUGCUUGGUAUUGGGUGCCGUCCUUAGUUGGGCGCGCCUUAAAGACCUCGGCGAGGCCUCACCGGCUUUAGGCGUAGUAGAAUUUAUUCGAACGUCUGUCAAAGGAGAGGACUUCUGCCGACUGAAACCUUUUAUUUUUUCUAGGUUGACCUCGGAUCAGGUAGGGAUACCCGCAUGAACUUAAGCAUAUCAAUAAGCCGGAGGAAA